rnacentral:rRNA from 1 species
GCAGCACAGGAGAGCUUGCUCUCUGGGUGGCGAGUGGCGGACGGGUGAGGAAUACAUCGGAAUCUACCUUUUCGUGGGGGAUAACGUAGGGAAACUUACGCUAAUACCGCAUACGACCUACGGGUGAAAGUGGGGGACCGCAAGGCCUCACGCGAUUAGAUGAGCCGAUGUCCGAUUAGCUAGUUGGCGGGGUAAUGGCCCACCAAGGCGACGAUCGGUAGCUGGUCUGAGAGGAUGAUCAGCCACACUGGAACUGAGACACGGUCCAGACUCCUACGGGAGGCAGCAGUGGGGAAUAUUGGACAAUGGGCGCAAGCCUGAUCCAGCCAUACCGCGUGGGUGAAGAAGGCCUUCGGGUUGUAAAGCCCUUUUGUUGGGAAAGAAAUCCUAUCGGUUAAUAACCGGUGGGGAUGACGGUACCCAAAGAAUAAGCACCGGCUAACUUCGUGCCAGCAGCCGCGGUAAUACGAAGGGUGCAAGCGUUACUCGGAAUUACUGGGCGUAAAGCGUGCGUAGGUGGUGGUUUAAGUCUGCUGUGAAAGCCCUGGGCUCAACCUGGGAAUUGCAGUGGAUACUGGAUCACUAGAGUGUGGUAGAGGGAUGCGGAAUUUCUGGUGUAGCAGUGAAAUGCGUAGAGAUCAGAAGGAACAUC